rnacentral:lncRNA from 1 species
AUGAUAAACUUUCUUCCCAUCACCAAAUGACUGCCCAAAGAGAUGGCAAUGGAUUAUAUGAUUUGGGCCUCUAGUCACCUAUAUACUACCCAUGCUCCAACAGUAGAUUCUGAGUCUUGACAUAUUUAAGAAAUGUGAGGGAUAGCUAAAUGUACAUGAAUGUAUUUUUUCCAUUCCUGCUGCGCUACUAGGAGUUACUUUGCCACUAAUCAGAAAUUGCCUUCCUAAGAAACUCAGAGAAGACAGAGCCUGACAUGGAUGCAUAGCACUUUCCUUUAAGUCAGUCGCUAAAUGAGCAUGUCACAAAAAGAUGCUAACAGAUAAGAGAUAGCAUAUUAUUAUGUUUCUUCUUUCUAACAUCUUAAAGAAUAAUCAGCACAUUGCCAUAAACUAGAUAUUUUGUUAAGCUGAUGCAUAAGAUGAACUUGCUUUCUAAAUUAAUAGUGAAAUCCUUAUGUCCACAUUCAUCAUAAAACAUCCACCAACCAUGAUAAUUUAAAAUCCAAGUUCUCUCGUUAAAACUAAUACAGUUUUGAGAUUAUGAAAAUGUUUUUGGACUGUAGUCAGGUUUAAAAAACAAAGUUGUAAUAAAAGCAUUAUGGAGAAUCAAGGAGUUGGGUUGUCAUAUUUGAUAUAUUUAUAAUUAGAUUGAAAAUUGCACACAUACCAAGCAGUAAGAGAUAAUGACUAGGUUUGAUAUGCAUGUGUAUGGGAUAAAGUGGCCAUCUUUAUGUACAAAUUCUGAGCUUGGUAUAGUAGUACAAAAUAAUUCAGCCUAAUGAAACAAUGUCUAUGGAGUAUGCCCUGCUUUAUAAGGGAUUUGAAAAAGAAACUUGAAAAAUUCUAAAUUUGACAUACAAAGACUAUUAUGGAAUGUAGGAACACAUAUUACCAGUUUUAAUACCAUAAUAAAGUAUGCAGUUUAUUAUAUGUAUAUUAUUUUUAAAUGAAAUAUAUCCACAUAUAUAACAUAAAUGUUUCUAUUGCCUUGUCCAAUGCUCAGAGAGUCAAUAAUAUGAAAACAAAUUUUAGUACAAGGAAAUAAUGUCAUUUAGUUGAAGUAGAAUUUGUCCUUAGAGAGUACAGGCAAUGUAAAAGAGAAAAUGGUCUGCAUUUAAACAUCUUUCUCAGUAUUUACUUUCCUUUUAAUAUUUUAUCGAGCCUGGAAGCAGGAGAAAAGCCCAAGAAGGAUUACAGAAUUAUAUAACCACUCUAUUAUGAUCUAUGCUAUUAUUAGAUCACGAAUUUAUUUGUAAAUAAAGAGAAAUGAUACAUUGAUAAAUUAUGUGUGCCAAAUAAUUAUCAUACAUUGGAAAUCAUAGUGAACCUGAACACGGGCAUAGCUGCAAAACUUGUCUUUGUUUAUCUAAUUUCUCCUUGAACAUUCCUUUUAAAGAUACCUUUUAAUACUUUAAAUAUUUAAAUACAUUUAAGGGUUGUUAUCUAUUUCAGAAUAGUGUAUUUCAUCACAAAAAAAUCAUGGAUAAAUCCUAGUGACUAUAUAUCCAAAGGAGUAUCUACUUAUAAUUAUAAAGGUCUCAUAUAUAUGUUAGUUCAUAUGUAAUCAUUGGAUACAAAUAUAUUCCCUUUAUACAUACUGGUAUUUAUGAAUAGUGAAAUUUUUAUUUUGAAUGAACUUUCGACAAUUAAUGGUCUUGUGUUUCUUCUAAAGAUUUAAAUAAUACAAAGAAACAUUUUAUAAUUAUCUCAACAUAAAAUUCAAAAUAGAAAACCAAGAAACACAGGGGAACACUCAUGGGAAUUUUCUAUGAAAACAUAUGUUGAGAUAUUUUUCUUAAAAGUCACCAUUUUAACAAAAGCAUGUCACCAAAUUAAUAUCCCCCAUGUGGAUCAAUAGGCAGGGUUAAAUUAUCUCAGGAGUACAAGAGGAUAACAAGGAUACUAUAUUUGUGAUUUUGUUGUCCAGUGAUUUCUAGCUGGCUUCUCAUGGCCUUUUACACCCUAAAAUAUGUCCUAGGGAAGAUGCUGCUGUUCUCUAAAUAGAUAUUUAACUCUUUCACUUUUAUGUCCAGCAGCACAUACUUCCUGGAAUUAGAGCAUCUCUAGAUUUGGUAGGGGAGAAGAGCCUCUUCUUUCCUUUAUGCAACUGAAACAAGCCUAUACAUUCUCCCCACCCACCAAGAAUUCUGUUAAGAAUGUAUUCUCACUAUAGGAAACAAGAGGGUAAGGGGCCCCAUAAACUGGAGAGGCCUCAUUGCCUUCUUUGGGAAAUCUUAAAGCAUGUCACAUAUACCCAAUACAAACAUGAACAUGGUGUUGUUGCAUUUUUAACUGUAACUUCUUUAAUUUUCACAAAUUAGGCUUUCUUGCUCACUUGUCACACAAAUUUUGAAUGGUUCAGUAACAGCUAUUCCCAAAUAGACACUGAACUGCUAAUAGUCUCUUUCCUAUCAUAGUUCUCUGGUCUCUUUGGGUAACUCCCAAAAUGAACAAUGAGAAGUUUGAGGUCCUGCCAUUCACUUUGUCUCUCACUGGGACAGCCAUUGAGCUGACAGGUCAGGGUACUUAUUAAACUAAGCCAUCAAAUGGCAUCAUCUCUGAUUUGAAGAUUUGCUGUGAAAAAAUUCCAAAUAAAUGUCACCUCAUAAGCCUCUUCAAGCUAGAAUGUUCAUGAUACUACAGUGGAAAGCCUUCAGUAAUCACUUUUAAUAAUGCAGGCUCUCCAAAAGAUCUCAUGGUUGAUCGUUUAUUUGCAAUAGUUGGGACUUAUUUGAGUUUUAGCCAGUUCCAGCCUUACAUUAGGCAACUUCCCCAACAACUAAGACAUUCAAAGUGUUCUAUGAGAUUGGUUACCAGUAGUCUGCAGUUUCAAAAAUGGCAUAGAAAUUUUAAUAGGUUAUUAUAUCAUCAUCUCUAAAACUUUUGCUUUCUUUUGACUAUAAGAGAAUUAAUCAAAAUAAGCUAUUAUUUGGCAGUUUCCAUUUUACUUGUCAGAUUAAACAAUCACAUAUAUUUGCUUACAAAUAAGGGUACUGUGAUACUUUUGAACCUAAAGUAGAAAGUUUUCAAGAAAAUCAAGACAAAAUAAUCAACAUUAAAGAAAAAUAAUGGUUAAAAAAUAUCUAGAUUCCAAGGAUGUGGAGAUGAAGCCAACAGGGCUUAAAUGAAAGGUAUGAGAAGAAAAGAACAAAUGAAAGUGUCUCUCACCAUGAGUGACAGGAAUGAGUAGCUCUGAAACCACAGUCAUGAUGGACUAGAGGCUCCUGAUGAUGCCUCAGAGUCUAGAUCAUCAAGUUAGUCAGUGCUUCCAUGAACCUAAAAGUCUUUUAACACAAGCCCCCAGGAAAGUAGGUACAGUUGCAAGCUGAUUCAUUAGCACAGAAGGAAAUACCUGGAUCAAGUAGGAAAGACAAGGCUUUACCUGAGGCUCCCACAGGGUGAAAACCUUUGUAUGAAAGUUUUCAUAUGGGAAAAACAUAAAAAAUUUCUGUUUGAAUGAAGCAUCAAGCUGUGUACUGUAGACAUAACACACUGAGGGAAUUCAGUGAAAUAUCUAAGAGCUUUGAAAGUACUUAGUUGUGAAGGAACCAUUUUGUCACCAUGAAGUGUCUUAAUGUUUUUAAGAUUUUAAGAAUAUUGAUCUACCAUAAUAUGGUUUUAUAUGAUUUUCACUCCCAAAUUACAGAGUGAGUUUUUUUCUGUAUAUAGCAUCUAAGC